rnacentral:rRNA from 1 species
UACGGAGGUGGCAAGCGUUGCUCGGAAUCACUGGGCGUAAAGGGCGCGUAGGCGGGGAGGUAAGUCGGGUGUGAAAUCCCUCGGCCCAACCGAGGAACUGCGCCCGAGACUGCUUCUCUUGAGUCCCGGAGAGGAAGAUGGAAUUCCCGGUGUAGCGGUGAAAUGCGCAGAUAUCGGGAGGAACACCAAUGGCGAAGGCAGCUCGCUGGGACGUGACUGACGCUGAGACGCGAAAGCGUGGGGGAGCAAACAGG